CAGGGUUAUGUCACUGCUGCAGGUUUGUGAUGAAGUGGAGCGAAAACAUCCAGCUUUGGGAAAGAAGUGACAAAGAUUUGACUGCGUCUGCAAAAAGUGCUUCACCUGCCUCCAGAGAAAUCUCUGCCAUACCAGCUGUACCUGGAGGCCAGAGAGGAGGCUCUCGUUGAAGAGUUACCAGGAGUUAACAGCGUGACCUUCCAUCUCCACACACAACUAUUCUCCUGACUGGUCAAGACUGGAAAAUGGCCUUCUUCACCAAAAGAGCUCCAAACGUUGUGAAAGCAGACGAUGUUGAGGAAGGGAUCAUCUCUGCCUUCUGCACUGACUUUGUCUUCAAGCUGGCAAACCCGAGACACCUGAAGACACACUGACGUUCCUCCAGAGGUGCAUGGUGGUGACCAACCUCUGCCAAGAACUGUUAACAGGACCAUAAAUCUUCUUUAUUCACUCCAUUAUGCCGCAUACCUAGCAGUGCUUCUAAUGCUCCAGGAGAGAAUCUACCUUAAAUGAAUUCAGCACAAAGGACUUUAUAGAAUUUAUUAUUAUUGUUUUAUGGUAUAAAGUUAGAGGAAGAAAAACUGUAGAACAGAUGAUGAUGUUUGUUGUGAUUUCAUCUUUCAUUCUGUUGCAUGUUUGUGUGUGAAUGACGCCUAACAAAGCUUCUUUAUUUUCAUCACUGGCUGAAAUAAAUUAAACUAAUGACAAUAAAACCACCAAUAGAUGGAGGCCUGAGAAACGUAGGAAAGACCAGAACUGUUAGUUCCACAUGUGUCUGAUCAUCCAGUGUGUAACAGCAACGAGCAACGCAAAGCAACAUGUUUAGUUUUUUCUAGAAGUUUCUUUGUAACAUGCUCCAUCAUACAAGUACAACAUGCAUGUAAGCUGAGCCCCGUCCAGACUGUGAAGUAUAAGU